rnacentral:rRNA from 1 species
UACGAAGGGGGCUAGCGUUGCUCGGAAUCACUGGGCGUAAAGGGCGCGUAGGCGGCGUUUUAAGUCGGGGGUGAAAGCCUGUGGCUCAACCACAGAAUGGCCUUCGAUACUGGGACGCUUGAGUAUGGUAGAGGUUGGUGGAACUGCGAGUGUAGAGGUGAAAUUCGUAGAUAUUCGCAAGAACACCGGUGGCGAAGGCGGCAUCCGUCGGACCAACAGUGACACUGA